CGAGGCUUUAUCUCGUAGAUUCAUUUUAGUGCGGCACCUGUCUGCUGUUCACUCUUAGGACAGCACGUAGUGAAGGUCGGAGGAGUCGCGGACCUGUCAAAAAGGUCGGUUAGAAGCUGUGGUUGUCCUAGUGACUGGGGAUGGCGCAGCUUUAGCGGCACCGGCACCGGAAGUGGACGGGCCGCGCGGCGGCCAUGGCAAAUUGGUCUGAAGAAAACAAGACCUUCAGUGACAUAUCCUAAGUACUACUGAGAAUAAACCUCGUUUUACGGGAAAAUGAAGGAACGUG
rnacentral:lncRNA from 1 species